UAGCUCAGUCGGUAUAGCAUGAGACUAUUAAUCUCAGGCUCAUGUGUUCGAGCCACAAGUUGGGCAAAA